CUCACCCUGUGAUGGUGAAAAUGGUACAGUUGAGUUUGCAUGAAAAUUUUUCAGAAUAUUUUUAAAGCUAGCUUUAGUGUUCAGCUCAGAGUUUAAGAUAGAUGAACUGUGCCAUGCUUUAACCACUUAUAAGGAAUCAAUUCCGUUUCAGCCUCUCUUUAAAGUUCAUUCUUGGUUCCAGAGUAAGAACCCACCGCUUUAAAUUCCUUGCUUACGUGGUUUAAGAAAGUUAUGACUUCUUAAGACAAAGUGUACACACCAUAGUCUUCAGCACUUAGCUGUUAAACUGGGGUGUUUUUUGAUGUGACUCGAAACAAGUAUUACAAAUCUUUGGUAGUGUUAGGGGAGUUUUCUACUUGGACUGGAAUCUUUAUCAAAAUGUUUAGAAGUAAAUAUUAAAAUUGAAGACAAGAUAAUGAUGAUUGAGUUCAGCAAAGUAACAUAAAUUUGUGCAAGAGUAAGUUGAAUGACUUUUUAGGGCCCAAAUUAAGAGACCCCAAAAGGUCAAAAUCAUUUGGUUUUGAGGAGAGAAAAAGGGAGCAAUUAUAUUAGCUGAUAUGGCUCAGGUGUGAAUGUAUAACUAACGCGAAACACAGGUGAAACACACAUGGCUACUUAGAGGAGAAGGGAAGCUGCAGUAUUCUGUGGUGUCUCGGUAAAUCAGUCACUCACACUGAACACAGGAACCAGGAAAACCCAGCUGGGGAAGAGGAGACCAUUUGCUGACAGGCCUCCUGAAAGCAGAGCUCCAGAUGGUGUCAGACACCAGGUGGCUGUCAGAGCAGAACAAUGAAUCGAGGCUUGAAGUGAAAGAACCAUCUUGAUGUCAUGGCAACAGAAGGCAACAGCAAGGAUAGUAGUGCAAGAACCCAGAAGGGCCAUGAUCAGAGGGAAUGAACCCAGGCCCUUGGCAGUGAAACAGUCCUAACCACUGGACCACCAGGGAAUUCCUCAGAUCUCUUUGAUGAGCCUGCAUCACUACUCACACAGCUGCGGAAGCCUGUGCUGGCUGCUGGUGCAGUUCUAGGGUUCUGGUGGAGGUUGCUGUGGUGGGUAAGGAACAGGAAAAAAGUCUCUGGUGAGAGUUAGCAGAUGCAAAUACCUCUGGGGCAAAGGCUAGUGAAAUACACAGCAGGGUGCCACAGCUUUGCUGGCUGUUCUCCAGCUGCAAAAUCUGCUGGAUUUGUCUGCUGAGUAGGUGACUGUCAACUGUGAUGAUCGCACUAUAGGGCUGCUGUUGGUAACCUUGCUUUUCUGAUUUUUUUCCUCAGGCCAGCCCACUUUUGACUUCUGUCAUCA
rnacentral:lncRNA from 1 species